CAGUCGCCGCGGGAAUACAGAGGGUGCAAGCGUUAAUCGGAAUUACUGGGCGUAAAGCGCGCGUAGGUGGUUUGUUAAGUUGGAUGUGAAAUCACCGGGCUCAACCUGGGAACUGCAUCCAAAACUGGCAAGCUAGAGUAUGGUAGAGGGUGGUGGAAUUUCCUGUGUAGCGGUGAAAUGCGUAGAUAUAGGAAGGAACACCAGUGGCGAAGGCGACCACCUGGACUGAUACUGACACUGAGGUGCGAAAGCGUGGGGAGCAAACAGGAUUAGAUACCCGAGUAGUCCCUGUCUCUUAUAC
rnacentral:rRNA from 1 species